rnacentral:lncRNA from 10 species
AUCCAUGGAAUACCAAUUCUUUUUCUUAGUGUUCACAUUGGAUUUUUCUGUUAAAAAUAGAUUGUUGGAGUUGGCUAACAAGUUGAUUACUUCCAGUCAGGCACUCUCUUCUGUAAAGUCUCUUUUGUAAACUCCUACAAGCAGCUAUUUCACUGGAUUUGAAAAGACUGACUAAAAAGAACCAUGCACUGUAACUCUCAAGUAUACAGGAAUAUUGUUAUUAGCUCCUGCCAUAUAAAAUGCCGGCUCCUGCUUUGCCUUUCACCAUGAGUAAAAGCCUCCUGAGACCUUCUCAGAAACAGAUGCUGCCAUCCUUCCUGUACAGCCUGCAGUACCGUGAGCAAAAUAAGCCUCUUUUGUCUAUAAAUUACCUAGUCUCAGG